rnacentral:rRNA from 1 species
GAUGCCUUUAAUCUAGCCCAAUUACACCUAUUUCCCACCCUACUCCCUACCCUCAAAAUAAACCAUUCUAAAUUUUAAGUAAAUGCGAUUGAAAAAGAACUUGGAGCUUUACAAAUAGUACCGCAAGGGAAAGAUGAAAUAGAAAUUAAAUAAAUACUAAAGCACAAAAUAGUAGAGACUUCAACUCGUACCUUUUGCAUCAUGGUCUAACUAGUCUAGUCAGGCAAAGAGAUCUUUAGUCUGAUCCCCCGAAACUAAGUGAGCUACUCCAAGGUAACCUUAGAGUUAACCCGUCUCUGUGGCAAAAGAGUGGGGUAACCUUUGAGUAGAGGUGAUAUACCUAUCGAACUUAGUGAUAGCUGGUUACUCAAGAAACGAAUUUUAGUUCCUUCUCAAGAGGACUUAGCUAAUAUUUUAUUAAGCAAAUUUAACCUCUUAAGACCUAUUCAAUUAGGGUACAGCCUUAUUGAAAAAGGAUACAACCUACAACUCAGGUUAACGUUUCAAGACCUAGCUCAAGUGGGCUUAAGAGCAGCCACCUUUAAAAAAGCGUCAAAGCUUCCUCUAUUGUCUUCUUCAAUUUCUCAAUCUUUACGGAACCCGAUACUAUUAUUGAGUCCUUCUAUAUUUUUAUAGAAGUGUUUAUGUUAGAACUAGUAAUACAGAACUACUUCUCUCUAUGUAAGUGUAAAUCAGACCGAAUAAGUCACUGAUAAUUAUUCAGUUGUGAAAUAAUUGUAGUAACCUCACUAGAAAACCCUACAAUCUUUCACUGUUAACCUAACACAAGAACAUUUGAGAAAGAUUUAAAGACGAGGAAGGAACUCGGCAAAUUUAAGUCCCGCCUGUUUACCAAAAACAUCGCCUUUUGCACACUAUAUAAGGUAAUGCCUGCCCAGUGACUAUAUGUUCAACGGCCGCGGUAUUCUAACCGCGCGAAGGUAGCGUAAUCACUUGUUUCCUAAAUAGAGACUUGUAUGAAUGGCUACACGAGGACUUAACUGUCUCCCUCGUCUAAUCAGUGAAACUAAUCUCCUCGUGCAGAAGCGAGGGUAAACUCAUUAGACGAGAAGACCCUAUGGAGCUUUAAACUUAAUAUUAACUUUUCUUUUAUCAACAAUAACUUUUUAAUCUUGAUAUAAGUUUUAGGUUGGGGCGACCAUGGAGAAAAAAAUAUCCUCCCUGAUGACUUCUAAUCAAGAGCGACAGCUCUAAGUAUUAAGACACUUAACUUCCAUUGACCCAUUUUAUGAUCAACGAACCAAGUUACCCUAGGGAUAACAGCGCAAUCCAUUUCAAGAGUUCCUAUCGACAAAUGGGUUUACGACCUCGAUGUUGGAUCAGGGCAUCCAAG